UCGAACGGGCUUAACAUGAAACCUAGUGAUUGUUAAGUUAGUGGCGGACGGGUGAGUAACGCGUGGAUAACCUGCCGUAUGCAGGGGGAUAACAGUUGGAAACAGCUGCUAAUACCGCAUAAGCGCACAGUACCGCAUGGUACGGUGUGAAAAGAUUUAUCGGCAUACGAUGGAUCCGCGUCCGAUUAGCCAGCUGGCGGGGUAACGGCCCACCAAAGCGACGAUCGGUAGCCGGCCUGAGAGGGCGGACGGCCACAUUGGGACUGAGACACGGCCCAAACUCCUACGGGAGGCAGCAGUGGGGAAUAUUGCACAAUGGGGGAAACCCUGAUGCAGCGACGCCGCGUGAGUGAAGAAGUAUCUCGGUAUGUAAAGCUCUAUCAGCAGGGAAGAAAAUGACGGUACCUGACUAAGAAGCCCCGGCUAACUACGUGCCAGCAGCCGCGGUAAUACGUAGGGGGCAAGCGUUAUCCGGAUUUACUGGGUGUAAAGGGAGCGCAGACGGCAGGGCAAGUCUGAUGUGAAAGUCCGGGGCUCAACCCCGGGACUGCAUUGGAAACUGUCCGGCUAGAGUGCAGGAGAGGUAAGUGGAAUUCCUAGUGUAGCGGUGAAAUGCGUAGAUAUUUUGAGGAACACCAGUGGCGAAGGCGGCUUACUGGACUGUAACUGACGUUGAGGCUCGA
rnacentral:rRNA from 1 species